UACGGGGGGGGCAAGCGUUGUUCGGAAUUACUGGGCGUAAAGGGCUCGUAGGCGGCCAACUAAGUCGGACGUGAAAUCCCUCGGCUCAACCGGGGAACUGCGUCCGAUACUGGCGGGCUUGAAUUCGGGAGAGGGAUGUGGAAUUCCAGGUGUAGCGGUGAAAUGCGUAGAUAUCUGGAGGAACACCGGUGGCGAAGGCGGCAUCCUGGACCGACAUUGACGCUGAGGCGCGAAAGCCAGGGGAGCAAACGGG
rnacentral:rRNA from 1 species